AAUUGGAGGGCAAGUCUGGUGCCAGCAGCCGCGGUAAUUCCAGCUCCAAUAGCGUAUAUUAAAGUUGUUGCAGUUAAAAAGCUCGUAGUUGAAUUUCGGGGUCAGUAGAUUGGUCGUGCCACUGGUAUGUACUGGUCUUACUGGCUCCUCCUUCCUGAUGAGCCGUAAUGCCAUUAAUUUGGUGUUGCGGGGAGACUGGACUGUUACUUUGAAAAAAUUAGAGUGUUUAAAGCAGGCUAACGCUUGAAUACAUUAGCAUGGAAUAAUGAAAUAGGACGUUCGAUCUUAUUUUGUUGGUUUCUAGGAUUGACGUAAUGAUUAAUAGGGAUAGUUGGGGGCAUUAGUAUUCAAUUGUCAGAGGUGAAAUUCUUGGAUUUAUUGAAGACUAACUACUGCGAAAGCAUUUGCCAAGGAUGUUUUCAUUAAUCAAGAACGAAAGUUAGGGGAUCGAAGACGAUCAGAUACCGUCGUAGUCUUAACCAUAAACUAUGCCGACUAGGGAUCGGAUGAUGUUAAUUUUUUAAUGACUCAUUCGGCGCCUUACGGGAAACCAAAGUGU
rnacentral:rRNA from 1 species